UCUGCAACCCGACUCCGUGAAGCUGGAUUCGCUAGUAAUCGCGCAUCAGCCAUGGCGCGGUGAAUACGUUCCCGGGCCUUGUACACACCGCCCGUCAAGCCAUGGGAGUCGGGAGUGCCUGAAGUUCGUGACCGCCACAGGAGCGACCUAAGGCAAGACCGAUGACUGGGGCUAAGUCGUAACAAGGUAGC
rnacentral:rRNA from 1 species